rnacentral:rRNA from 1 species
GAUGAAGGCCCUAGGGUUGUAAAGCUCUUUCGACGGGGACGAUAAUGACGGUACCCGUAGAAGAAGCCCCCGGCUAACUUCGUGCCAGCAGCCGCGGUAAUACGAAGGGGGGCUAGCGUUGUUCGGAAUCACUGGGCGUAAAGCGCACGUAGGCGGAUCGUUAAGUCGAGGGUGAAAUCCCAGGGCUCAACCCUGGAACUGCCUUCGAUACUGGCGAUCUUCGAGUCCGGGGAGAGGUGAGUGGAACUCCGAGUGUAGAGGUGAAAUUCGUAGAUAUUCGGAAGAACACCAGUGGCGAAGGCGGCUCACUGGCCCGGUACUGACGCUGAGGUGCGAAAGCGUGGGGAGCAAACAGGAUUAGAUACCCCUGGUAGUCCACGCCGUAAACGAUGAAUGCUAGCCGUCGGGGAGCAUGCUCUUCGGUGGCGCAGCCAACGCAAUAAGCAUUCCGCCUGGGGAGUACGAUCGCAAGAUUAAAACUCAAAGGAAUUGACGGGGG